rnacentral:lncRNA from 1 species
AAAUGGUUAAUCGAUUGGAUUCUAAGAAAAUACUUGAGUUGCUUUUUUUGUUUUAACUGUUUUCUGUAAUCCAUUGUAUUUUAGCCACAAUGGCUACCUAUUUCAUCAAACACUGAGCAGUUAUAAUUCAUUAACCUUAACAGAAACUUCACUAUAAAAUCAACCAGACGUUUCUUAGUUUAGAAUAAUUGAAUUUGCUUGAAAGAAAAUAUGCUCAGUAUGGGCUUUUCACACACACAAAUUUCACCUAAAUCGAGUAGCAACUGGUCUCGCCUAAAGAUCGUAGUUACCUGAAACUCAAGGUGCUAGAUAAAAAACAAAAAUAGCUUGAAUAAUUAUGCAACAUGUAUUUAGUACUUAUACUAUAGGUCGUCAUACAUACCUGUAUAUUUUAUGCUAAACACUGAAGAAGUGGUUUAACACAAUUAUAUAAUGUUUCAAUAGAUUAUAAAGUAACCCUGGCAGUGGUGUCCCGAAACGCGUCUAUAUUUUAUAAACAUAAAACACUAUAUAUAUACUAUAUAUAUAUAUAUAUAUAUAUAUAUAUAUAUAUAUAUACAGUGUUUUGUAUGUGUGUGAGAGAGAGAGAGAGAGAGAGAGAGGAAGAAUGAAAGAAAGAAAGAAAGAAAGAAAGAAAGAAGGAAAGAAAGAAAGAAAGAAAGAAAGAAAGAAAGAGAAAGAGAAAGAGAAAGAGAGAGUUACAGAAAGUCAGCUAUCGUGUCGGUGCGUGCGAGGUCAUUCUCCCGUAAUGUGCUCCGUAAAGAGGAGCACAUUUGUGUCCUCUCUUUAUACUCCAUUCUAUGGUCAAUGAAUUUAUAGAGAUUAGUAGAGACUAGACCAUUCAUUUAUAUUGCUUCCACUGAACCUUGGCGAUUAUAUGUGAUUCUAUUGUAUAUUAUAUUUUAAAAGAAACAGAUAAAUAGGCUGCAAAAAGCCUGCACAAAGCAUAACCAUGAAUUCUGUUUUAGCAUCUGAGAAAAUUUUAAUAUUGAAUAAUUUUUUUAAAGUAAUAUAUUAGAGAAAAAGUUAAUAACAAAUAGAAUCUAAUAUUAAAUAAGACUGCAGUGGCUUGCACGAAUAUGUUAAUCUUCUGGGUACAUCAACACAUGCUUCGUGUCCAGAUGACUUAUAGAUAGUUAGCUAUUUCAGAAAGAAUGAAAAUAGCUGAUUGGUUGGAUAACGAUAAAAGUAAUACAGCUAAACAGAACUUCUGAGAAUAAUAUGGAUAUGAGUAGAGAAUCAAAACGCAUCAAAUAUUCAUGAUGUUAAUUUUCAGCAUCGGUAUCACUGUAGGCUCCUAACAGUUGCUUUUGCGAUAUUCAAAGAACUAUUCUGUACAUCACCAAGGAGACAAAGAAAAUUUGUUAGGACACUUAACCACGGUCUGGAGUUUAGAAAGUGUUAAAUCGAUACGUAAUUUGCAUGUAAUCUUCAGGCAACUAAUGUCGUUAUGUAUGUUAUAUAUCGGGUAAUAUGAUGUUCCACACCAAAUCCAAAUGGGAUCUCACAAUUAUUAUGCAAAUGCUAUUUAUACAGAAUACAGAUUAGGACUUAACUUAUUUCUGAAUAAAAUUAGAGUCAUGUUUUAAUUAGUUAAAUGCUGGCGGAAGAAUAAAUUUUGGUACUGCUAUAUUAGAAUGGUCAAAUCCGCAAGUAAAAGGGAAAGAAAAAAGAAUAUCAAACACAAGAUAUCCAAGCAGAGAAUACUUUUCAAAAUCCGUAUAGGCAAUACAUACAGAAAUACAUAUAGGCAUAUAUUUAUAUAUAUGUAUAUAUACAAUGAAUAUAUAUAUAUAUAGUCAUCUAUCAACUUUACAUUCGGUAAUCAGUAGUGUGUGUAUGUAUACACGCAAAUAUUCAUAGAUAUGCAUAUAUAUUACCAUAUAUCUAUGCAUACAUAUACCUAUAUACAUACAUACAUAUAUAUAUAUAUAUGCAUAUAUAUAUGCAUAAAUGAAUGUGUGUGUGGUACAUGUAUCAUCAUAAUACACGAAUUUCUCAGCAUUGCUGAUAUUUACAUAGGAAAAUAUUUGGGUGCAACACAUCCACAUCUGCACAAUUUACCAUGAAUACAUGUGACUGAUGACAAGAAUUCCCCAUACAAACGUAUUGAAGCGUACGGAUAGUACUACUCGUUGCAAGCAAAUAUAUAUAUAUAUAUAUAUUAUCUCCACUACUUUAUUAUCUCCCCUUCUUCCCUGUUCUCUUGUGUGAACCCUCUGUCCGGCAUUCGCCAUGAUAGAUCGCUAGCCACUACCAAUUCUUUAUUUUCUCUCCUUGUAUCUUUCUGUCUUCCUUUCUGUGGAAUGCGUGGGCGCAAAACCUUAAAGACUUUUUCUCUUCCGGAGCGUUAAACUAAUAGAUCUGUAUGUUGUCUACUUCACCUGUCUUCGCCUUUGUUUUUUUUUUGUUUUGUGAAUUCUCCCUAUAUAUAUAUGUGUGUGUGUGUGUGUGUUUGUGCAUGUGUGCGUGUGUGUGUAAGGAGAGAGAGAGAGAGAGAGAGAGAGAGAGAGAGGAAGUUGAUUAUAUGGACCCCAGUAAGCAACUGGUACUUAAUUUCAUCGACCCCGAAAGGAGGAAAGGUAAAGUCGACCUCGACGGAAUUUGAGCUCAGACUGUAAGGACCGACGAAAUACCUAUUUCUUUACUACCCACAAGGGGCUAAACACAGAGAGAACAAACAAGAACAGACAAACGGAUUAAGUCGAUUGCAUCGACCCCAGUGUGUAACUGGUACUUAAUUUAUCGACCCCGAAAGGAUGAGAGGCAAAGUCGACCUCAGCACAAUUUGAACUCAGAACGUAACGGCAGACGAAAUACCGCUAAGAAUUUCGCCCGGCAUGCUAACGUUUCUGCCAGCUCGACUUCUUAUUCAUGCUAAUAUAAUACCAGCCUGAAGAUGAACCUAUGAAAAUCUAGAAAUGUUGAAAAUGAAUUUAGAAACUGAACUUUUUACAAAAAAAACCUCAAACGACUAAUAGGAAAAUGUAAACAAAAAUGAAAAAGUCCUAUUUAAAGAAAAUAGAAUUAGAUUACAGUUGCGUUUUUAAUACAGGUUUAAUAUAUAUAUACAUAUAUAUAUGUAUUAUAUAUAUGUAUAUAUAUAUAUAUAUAUAUAUAUAUAUAUAUAUGUAUAUGUAUGUAUGUAUGUAUGUAUAUGUAUAUAUAUUCAUAAUACUCAUGAAUACAUUAUAUACUGAUAUACGUGCAUAUAUAUAAAUACAUAUAUACGUAUAUAUAUAUGUAUAUAUAUAUAUAUGCAUGUAUGUAUGUAUAUGUAUGUAUAAGCAUAUGCAUAUUUAAGUGUAUAAAUACAAAGGUAUAUUCACACACACGCACAGAUGCAUACAUAUAUUCAAGUAUAGUCACUGACCUGAUUAACGUAAUGCUAAAAAAGAAAUUGCUAAUUAAGAAAAAAAUUUCUGAAGUGAAGACAAUUCGAAUGCUUACAAUCUAAAAUUAGAUAACCAAUCAACGAAGUACUUUGCUCAAAUAGUAAUCCAUUUACUCUCGUUCGCAUGCACAUACAUAUAUGGGCUACAUUCACGCCAGACCGCACACACAUACACACACAUGCACACACACACUCACACACACAGAUGCACAUACAUCUUUAAGUCUGAAGCUCUCAUUAAUCAUUAAUGCUUUUUUCUUCCCUCGACUUGUAGACACAAUCGUAUAAUACUUUUAGGCCUUUCUAUUCCUAUGCCAUAAUGAUUAUUUCAUUAAUCUAAAAAUAUGCUUGAUACUUCAUUUUACAUAUGGUCUGCUUCUUCUGAAUAUCUUAUACAUACAGCUGGUAUGUUGUAUAAGUAAUAUUUUAUCUGACUCUUCAUGAAGGAAUACAGGAAUGGAUGUGUUAUUAACAUACAGCCUGUUUAUGUUGUAUAUCGCAAUUAUUUUAUAUAACUCUUCAUAAAAAUAAAUGCAGGUAUUGAUAAGGGUUUCACGAGAUUGCUUUGGAAAAAUGUGCUUCUGUUUUCGAUUGUUAUUCAUAGACCACCGGAGUUGGGAUGUCUUCUACAUAUUUGGGUCCAUCAAAGCUUUCGUGGGGACAUUUUGUGACGGGAAAACCGUCUCCAUUAGUUGUACACAUCAGCCAUGACCCUCUUUAACACCAGAAACAUCCGUUUAGAUUCCUUUGAUUGAGCGCAUUCAUUUCGAUACAGACCUUCACUAUGUGAAUAAUGUUCUACCCAGUGCCAAGGGAUGCUGUGAAUCAUCAUCACAGUUGCUCUGUUUCCUCUGACAUAGCAAUUAAGAAUACAUAACAUGAAUAUGUGUAUAUAGGAGCAACCCAGACCUUGUGUUGUUUGCUAAAUACUGAAGAUGUAAUUUAUCAAUUACAUAAUCCUGGUAGUGACAUACUGAAACGCGUGUAGGUUUUAUAAGCAUAAAAUGCUGUUUUUCGUAUUUAAUUAAUUCUAAUGUGUAUGUGUGUGUGUGUGUGUGUGUGUGUGUGUGUGUGUGUGUGCGUGUUUGUGUGUGUGCGCGUGCAUGUCUUUGUGUGUUCGUCUGUGCGCGCAUGUGUAUGAGUGGUAUGUAUAUAUGUAAAGGGAGAGAAGCGUGACAGACCGACAGAUUUAUAGAAACACAGUCAGAUAGGGAGAUAGGUAAUCACAUAUACCCAGGCAUACGCCAUGCACUCAAACACACACAAGGAGAGACUUCUGUUCGGGCAUAUACAAGAAUAUUAAAUGACAUAAGACUGUGUGCGAAUGCACCGUGCCAAGGUCUCUGCACACAUGCUAAAGUAUGUACCCGCAUACAAAACAGUUGAUUGUUAUUAUCCAUUAGUGAGAAAAGCAAUUUAUCAAUUACUGAAGUACAUAGAAUAGUUUAAAAUAGCUUAAAAUUAACUAAGAAAUCAAGGAAAUAUUUUCUUCAUACUCAUAUAAUCUAUAUUUCCUCAUGCUCACAUUGAAACGCACUGAUACAGCAACGCACACAAAGAUAGAUCUAUCUAUCUAUCUAUCUAUCUAUCUAUCUAUCUAUCUAUCUAUCUAUCUAUCUAUCUAUCUAUAUAUAUAUAUAUAUAUAUAUAUAUAUAUAUAUCUAUCUAUCUAUCUAUCUAUCUAUCUAUCUAUAUAUAUAUAUAUAUAUAUAUAUAUAUAUAUACAUAUAUAUAUACAUAUAUGUAGUUAGAUAGAUAGAUAGAUACGUAUAUAUGUAUAUAUAUAUAUAUAUAUAUAUAUAUAUAUAUAUAUAUGUAAGUAUGCGUUUCUAUAUACAUGUACACUCACGCACGCGCACUCAUGGUUUUUCACACACAUAAACAAGGCUAUGCAAACAAAAGACACCCAUUAUAUAUCCUGAUUAGCACUGAAAUCAAUGCGGAUUCUUUAGAAAUUAUUACAACAAAUUAUGAAAAAAAAAAAUAAUAAUACAUAAAUAGAUAAAAAUAUAAAUAAAAUUAAUACUAGUUUCAUCCAAUUAUAAUGAUAUCAACGUGGAAAUAUAAUUGGCAUACGUAAAACAUGUGGGAGUGUGUGUUUAUAAAAAUAUAUUUUUAUAUAUAUAUAUAUGUAUAUAUAUAUAUAUAUAUAUGUAUGUAUAUAUAUGUAUAUAUAUGUAUAUAUGUACAUAUAUAUACAUAUAUAUAUAUAUAUAUAUAUAUAUAUAUAUAUAUAUAUAUAUAUAUAUAUACAUACAUAUAUAUAUAUAUAUAUAUAUACAUAUAUAUAUAUAUAAAAUAUAUAUAUAUAUAUAUAUAUAUAUAUGUAUAUAUAUGUACCUUUGUUACUUUAAUUAUUAUAAUUCUUCCUAUAAGGAAGAAGGUGUUACUUCAGAAAGGAAUAAUGCUCUACUACUGUGAUUCUGUUGAGAAAAAUCGAUGUAUGGUACAUGUGAAAUUUAGGAAAAAUCGUGCAUAUUAUUCCUGACUCCCCGGCAGAUUGUAAUUCUAAAAUAAGUGUUCGCUGGUCAGUUGCUUGCUUGGAAACUGUUGCUCUUCCAUAUUUACCACCUACAUUUAUUAUAUAGCGGAUUACACAACUAAUUACGUAUGUGCAUAUAUGUGUGUAUAAUUCCCAGAUGAGAAUCGGAUAUCCUCCGUAUAGAAUACACCUAGUAGUGGUCAAAAGAUUUAAACUUGAACAGGUAAAAUGGUAAAUGGAAGGAUAAGCAAGUUAGGCAGCUCUAUAUACAAAGAAUAUUUAAUAAACUAAGUAUAAAACGUGUACAUACGUUUAGUGACAAAAAAGUCCGAAAUACUCAAAAUACUAAUGACAUCAAGAAUUAAAGGUUACAAAUCCAACGCACACACAUAACACACUCACACACACAUAAAUAUUCGUUAGUUUGUAUCUAUCGAACUAUGUAAAUUGCAUUCUUUCCAUUGUAACCGAUGGAAAGUAUAGUUCUACAUUUAAAAGAUGAGGAAUUAUGUACACUAUUUACAUUCGACGGCUAUUUGUCCUCAUCAUGUUUGCUGUUAACACAACGUUUCGGUUGAUAUACCUUCCAGCCUUCUUCAGGUGUCUUGGGGGAAAUUUCGAACCUGGGUUCUCAUUCGUAAGGUAUUUUUCGAUGUUAUUAUUAUUAUUAUUAUUAUUAUUAUUAUUAUUAUUAUUAUUAUUAUUAUUAUUGUUCAGGUCUCUGCUUGGAAUCGAACUCGGAAUCUUGGGGUUAGUAGCCCGCGCUCUGUCCUCAUCUCUUAAGCACUACGCCAUAUGUCGUGAGUAUAUGGCGUAGUGGUUAAGUGAUGAGGACAGAUAUCUGUCGAAUGUAAAUAAUCUAUGAUGGAAAGUAUCUUUUCAACUUUGUUAUGCUUUCUGUUAUUAUCUGUUGGGUGAUUCCCUUCGCAAUCGUUUCCUUUGACUGUCAUGCACACACACACACGCAAAUUUACACAAACACACACAAACACAGAUAUAUGUGUGAGUGAAAUUCAACGAUAAGUUCUCAAUAGACCAAAGUAGAGUUGGAUAAGAUAUAUUCAACGCUGAGUUCUUAUACUUAAAUAUACAUAUAUACUUAAUAUAUAUUAUAGUUACAUUUAUUCAUAUAUAAAUAUAUACGUGUGUUUGUAAAUGCAUGUGUUCGCAUGUGUGUGUAUAAACUCCGUGAAAAUACUCGCUGUGGUUCGUAACAUUUUGUCUCACAAUAUAAUACUGUGCAGGUGAAUAUCUAUCUCUCAUUUGUUUUGAAGUGAAAAAAAAAAACGUGUUUUAUAGACCAAACUUGAUCAUGCCACAUAAACCCAUCGUCUGUGUAUAACAAAAAUUAAUCAAAAUUUGUCACGUAUGAAAUAUGCUCAUUUGAAAUAUGUAUAUGGCAUUUUUAUUAUAUAUUUUAUUUUACAGGUUCACAUGGAAGACGAUACGAAACUGAAGGCCACCCAUUUAUGUUCUUGUAUUGCGAGAGCAGAAUGCUACAGCAGCGAUUCAUGAGCUUCCAAGAUUAACACAUAUGCAUGCUUUUGGCUGAAGAAAUACAUGAAUCAUUGAAUAUUUUAAAAAUCAAGAAACCCUCAGCCGUUACUACUACUAAUAUUACUAGUACUACUAUUACGACGACAGCGGUGACUACUACUACUACUACUACUACUACUACUACUACUACUACUACUACUACUACUACCAUUACUACUACUACCAUUACUACUACUACCAUUACUACUACUGCUGCUGCUGCUGCUUCUACUAUUACUACUCCUACUGCUGCUUUACUUUUUCAUAUGCAUUUUAGCAAAACAUGAGGAGGCAAAAAUGGAACCCUUAGUCCUAAAUUCUACAAUUAAACUUUGUUGAUUCCUAAUUAUUAUUCUAUAAGGGUCUCACAGUUAGUAUAUUUAUAUUUAAUAACUUGGGCUCGUUGGUUUUAUAUAAAAGAAAAUUUAAACGGAAGAAAAACUGCAAAAAUAAAAAUAAAGAGAAACAUUUCUGUAGUAUCGGAAAUCUACAAACGAAAUUUGGAACUCCGAGCCAUAAAUGUGAUAUGAAAAGAUAAAGGAAAUAUCUAAUAAUAAUAAACGGCAGUUGACUGAAAACAAAUUGUAAUGUUAUAAAAAGCGCUUGUUUUAAAUAAAGUAUUUUGUGCCAAAUAUUUUACUGUGUUAUGAAGUGAAUUAAAGUACGUCAAAGACAACAAUAUGUAUAUAUAGAGAUGUGUGUGUGUAAACAUAUGUGUUUGUGUGUAAAAGUAUGUACGUAUGUAUGUAUUUAUGUAUGCUUCUCGUAGAUUUUCAUGUAUGCAUUUGUGAGUUUAUAUUUCUUCUUUCUUGUACUUUCUUCACAACUCUAGGGGAGAGGGAGGAAGGGGUAGAGUUGUUAUACUUCAGAUUGUUCGUCAUCUACGCCUUUCCAUUUUGUUCGAUGUAUGCCAUCGUCUAAAUAAUUCUCGCGUUAGAAAGAAAAUGCAUUUUAAAUCGCCUUAUACCUGUAUUCUGUAUACAUUGCGCAAACAGACAUUUACAUAAGGGUAUAACCACAAAUCCAUACAACUACGUAGAUUCACAC